GGCAGGAGGGUUAAGGCCGUUGUGUUCCCGCCUUCACGCGCUGAUGGCCGCCUGGCUGGUAGGGCUGCCAGGUGUCCGGGUUUGAACUGGACAGUCCGGUAUUUGAGGGGUCUGCUUCUGGCCGGGGAAGAAAAUUAAGAAACUACGGGACAUGUAAACUGUCUGGUAUUUUCUAACUGGCAAAUGUCCACAAGGUGGUGCCACUGCUAACCAGUUAAGAGUCAAAAGAAUACAUUUGGAAACACUGUAUCUAAUGGCUUUCCUGAGUAGGUGGAGCUCAAAACUAGCCAUGACUGAAAAAUCUGAAGAUGCCUCCUGAUUGUAAAGUUGAAGGAGAUCCAUUCAGAAGGUUGAUUAACCUGACAAUUCACAAAGAAGGUUUCAGAAAGCUCAAAUACUGGACUGUCUGGUUCAAAACCGGACACCUGGCAACCCUAAGCAAUGAUGCAUCUAAUAUGAUACAUACAAUUUUCCACUUUGUGCAAAAUCCCAGCAUACAUAAUUAUUGAUUGUUGAUUUCCUACUAAAAUGAGAGUUUGUUUGAACAUCUGUGUUUUGUAAAUAUUUUUUUUUCUUCAUUUGAAUCCCACUAAUAAGUUUAAAAUACGUGCUUUUCAAUAGAAGUUACAGGAAUUGUCUAGAUUCCU